UGGUAUUUUUGAUAAAUUACACAAAAGUAGGUAUGCUCUUUCACCCCCCAAAUUCUCCUUUUCACAGGUCACUAAGCUCAAGACUUGCUGUUUUUGAUCAUUCGCCAUUGUAUUAGUCCUCAAAAGUAAAUCUGAGACCAAGAGGAAACAUACCUUCUCUGUGCUGUGAGAUGAUGCUUAGUCUGGAUCAGCUUCUAAGAAUUCUGCCUACUCUACCACUGGGAUCCUUUUAUUGAUGGUUUGUGCCUACACCUGGUUAAAAAAUGGGAAAGUCAAUCAAAUGACCAAUUGUCUGGAUUUCUUUUCCAUGCCUAAUCUCACAGUGUAAAUUUCCAGUCUCCACUUCCCAGGGGCUUGAAGCUAAGAGUUUGUCUUAGAUUUUGGAGGAGACCUGGGACUUGGACUUCUCAGCAAUGCUGAAACUCUGAGGACUUUGGCAACUCUUCAAGAUGGACCAAGUGUCUUUUGUAUAAAGGAUGUGCAUGAAUCUUUGGGGGGUCAAGGGUGGAAUGUUAUGGUUUAUGUUCAGAUGGUGCCCCCCCUCAAGCCUCAUGCAAUCAUGGACCAGGUCAAAUCUAGUAUUUGUGAUUGGUUUGUUGUCUAGUGCUUGGAUUGGUUGUAUGAGUGAUAUACCUUCCCAAGGGUGGAGCCAACAUACAGUGUAACAGUGGGAAGAAGAGGCCCCUCAACCACAUCAUUUUGCCUUGGAGUCAACUGAGUAGGACUGAAACCUCCAACCUGUAAGAAAUAAACCUUCCCUUCCCUAACUUUGGGUGUCAGGUAUUUUGUCUCAACAACAAGAGAGAUAAGUAACUAAGACAAUAUUCAUCUACUAAGUCCCAAGCCUUGCUUGUUAAUAUAAUUCAACUGUGCAGAGAAUCUUACUCCAGUAUCUCAUCUGGUUAGUGUUAUGUUUUUGUUAUACCAAACUUCUCUUUGUUGAUAUAUAACUUCCUAACAAACUGUGUUUCAGCAUCUCACAUUGUGAUCUGUAGAACUCUAAUGAGAUACUAAUUUAUCCUCAAAGAAACCUCAUGGUUAAAUAAUUUGAGAAAUACCUGUUAAAAACCUUUAAAGUCUCUGGAGUAAGAUUUUUUCAAUGCUCUCAAGAUUGCAUUGAACAAUGAUAAUCUUUAAAAGCAGAUACAGAAUGUAAUACUUCUCAAAUGUUUGACCAAAGAAUUUCUCUCCCCUCUUCCUCCAACAUAAAAAUUCUCAAGGAAAAUGUAAUUUGAAAAAUGCAUUACAUACCCAGUUUGGAAAAUAUUACUCAGAGGACUGCUCACUUAGGAUAAAGCCAUUUAAUACCCUGGUUCAUUCCCCUUCAGGGAAAAUGAACUGAGGUUUGUAUCAGAAAGGAAAUUAAUGUGAUUGAUAGUCUCCUCCACUGCAAAGAUUGUGCUAGCUAGGGACUUGAUAAUAUUAAUCAGAAAAAAUUAUAACCACCAAAUAUGCAUUUGAGAUAGAAUGGAAAAAAUAAAUAAAGUAGGAAGGAGACAAGGAAAAUCAUAAUUUAAAGUUUAAGACAGCAACAUCAGGACAUAAAGUUACCUAAAGUUACCUAUAUUUGUACUCUUUCAGCUUGUUUAUGCUUUUUUUCUUGCAGACCUAUUGCACACAAAAUCCCUUAAAAAUACUAUAAAUAGCUUAGAUUUUAAGGUAAAGAGCAGAAACCUAACCUCAAGCAAAACAGAUUCAGAGAUUUCAAAGAUUUUGUUUGUUUGUUUGUUUUUGUUUUUGUUGAAACAGAACACCUACCUUAAAAAUUUAAUGGAGUGGGCCCAUGACUUUCUCCUGUAAAAUAAGCUAUCCUUUGACCCUGGAAGGUGUCACUAUCUUUCUACUUUGGAGGGUCUCUGACUUUCCUCCUGCAGUUAAUGAAGCCCAAACUUUCUAGAUAUUCACACAUUUCACAGUUUCUCGUCACCAAAAACACAUAAAAAUGGUCCCAGUUCCAGACUCUUAUGUGCCUGUCUCUUUUGAAGAUCAACACACUAUUUUGUUUGGACAUGUGCUUUAAAUUCUGACCAAUAAAUCUCAUUAUGCCCUUA